rnacentral:rRNA from 1 species
GAUGAACGCUGGCGGCGUGCCUAACACAUGCAAGUCGAGCGAACAGACGAGGCGCUUUCCUCUCUGAAGCUAGCGGCGGACGGGUGAGUCACACGAGGAUAACUUAUAUAUAAGACUAGGAUAACUUCGGGAAACCGGAUCUAACACAGGUUAAUAUAUUGAACCGCAUGGUUCAAUAGUGAUAGACGGUUUUGAUGUCCCUUGUAGAUGGAUCCGCGCCGCAUUAGCUAGUUGGUACGGUAACGGCUUACCAAGGCAACGAUGCGUAGCCGACCUGAGAGGGUGAUCGGUCACACUGGAACUGAGACACGGUCCAGACUCCUACGGGAGGCAGCAGUAGGGAAUAUUCCGCAAUGGGCGAAAGCCUGACGGAGCAACGCCGCGUGAGUGAUGAAGGUCUUCGGAUCGUAAAGCUCUUUUAGUAGGGAGGAACAGAUGUAUGAGUAACUAUUCACGUCUUGACGUUACCAAAUCAGAAAGCCACGGCUAACUACGUG